CCUGAUUUUGUCUAACAUAUGCGAGCGAACAAUAACGCCUUUUCAUUAGCACUAUGGUUUAAUUAUUUUCGUGUGUAGUACAAUUUCAAAUUAUAGAGCCUUUAGUUGGAAGUGUUUUUUAUUGUUGGAUUUCAUCAAGCGUUUUAAAAGCCGUGAUUCAUGUUCUCCUUCAGCUGCACAGUGCAGCACAGCAGCACAGACGCAGCAAAUUGGGGUGAAACAUUUCGCACACUUCACAGCCAACUAAGAAGCGAUUACUCACUUACGCGGUUUGUGAAGAAGAGAUAAUGUAGAACAGGGAAGCGGACGCGCGAACGAUCGCUUGUCUUGUUUAAUUUUAUGCUGCAUAAAUAUAGAAUAUUUCAAUCUUUCACCUCAGCAGCCAGUCAGUCGGCAGCAGCGAGCUCCACAUAUUUAGGUAUGCGCCUCUUACUCAUAUAUGUAUAUUUAAAUGCGAACAACAACCUAAGAGUCGCCGGCCAGCCGUUUCUGGCUGAGUGCACGUAAGCAAGGGUGCCUCGACCGAUGGAGACGAAUAUGGAGCAGACUGGUACGAGAUCGGAUUCCACACAAGCUUAGAAAACACGUAGAAACUGAUGAAUUUGUUCGCUGGAAAUACAAUUGAAACGUGGACUAGUCUAACAUGGAGAGCAGAAGCGUUGACAGCUGCGGGUGUCUGGGAGCAAAGGCAAAGUGGGGACUUCUUUUGUUCGAAUAGCUCAGAAUAUAUAGAUUAACGUUUAUAAAUAAAUUGAGUCGAGUCGGCCUAAC